rnacentral:rRNA from 2 species
UUGGAGGGCAAGUCUGGUGCCAGCAGCCGCGGUAAUUCCAGCUCCAAUAGCGUAUAUUAAAGUUGUUGCAGUUAAAAAGCUCGUAGUUGAAUUUCGAGACCGGUUUACUGGUCGUGCUUUUGUACGUACUGGUAUUAUUGGUUUCUCCUUUCUGACGAAUCUUAAUGCCAUUAAUUUGGUGUUUUGGGGAAUCAGGACUGUUACUUUGAAAAAAUUAGAGUGUUUAAAGCAGGCUCACGCUUGAAUACAUUAGCAUGGAAUAACGAAAUAGGACGUUUGAUUUUAUUUUGUUGGUUUCUAGGAUCGACGUAAUGAUUAAUAGGGAUAGUUGGGGGCAUUAGUAUUCAAUUGUCAGAGGUGAAAUUCUUGGAUUUAUUGAAGACUAACUACUGCGAAAGCAUUUGCCAAGGAUGUUUUCAUUAAUCAAGAACGAAAGUUAGGGGAUCGAAGACGAUCAGAUACCGUCGUAGUCUUAACCAUAAACUAUGCCGACUAGGGAUCGGAUGAUGUUAAUUUUUUAAUGACUCAUUCGGCGCCUUACGGGAAAC